CAGACAAAAUGUAGGUUUGACCAAGUCAACUGGAGUCUGGAACGGAGAAGGAAGUCUAGAUAAUCCGACUUAACAGGAGAACGAAGUCAACUUGAGCAUCCCAUUGACUUCGCCGCCGGAUGUUCUCACCUGAGAGUGGGCGCAGUUCGUUAUUGCGGCGAGCAAUGGCCUUCGAUUUCCCGUUCGUUUUAAUAAUGGAUGAAACCAGUAAAAGCCCGUCAACUACCCGCAUAACUCUCGCAUUUAAUAUCUAUCAAAUAUAGACACACGCACUCUCUCCCUUUCUCUCUCUGAAAACCACUUGCUUGCUGGCUCUCCCACCCACCAGAACCUAACCCCCAUAUCUGACCCUUAAUAUAUUCCUAAUUUUUUUUUUUUAAUUUCUAUAUGCUCUAAUUUGAAAAUCAGAGGUUUGGUAAUUUGUACCAUGAUGAUGGAAGUGGAGCAACAGAGGCCAGUCAAUCCGGCCAUGACCUUCGACGAGGUCUCCAUGGAACGCAGCAAGAGCUUCGUCAAAGCUUUGCAGGAACUUAAGAACUUGAGACCUCAACUAUAUACUGCUGCAGAAUACUGUGAAAAAUCAUAUCUUAAUAGUGAUCAGAAAGAGAUGGUGCUGGACAACCUGAAAGAUUAUGCUCUAAGAGCCCUGGUAAAUGCUGUUGAUCACCUCGGCACAGUUGCUUACAAGUUAACUGACCUUCUUGAGCAGCAAACAUUAGAAGUCUCAACCAUGGAGCUCAACGUUUCUUGCCUAAAUCAGCGACUUCUGACGUGUCAGAAGUACAUGAAUAGUGAAGGUCUCAGGCAGCAGCAGUUGUUGGCAUUCAUUCCCAGACAUCAUAAGCACUACAUUUUGCCAAAUUCUGUCAAUAAAAGGGUACACUUUAAUCCACACAUACAGACUGAUAUGCAAAACCAAUUUCAAGCUAGAGCUCGUCUUCAGCCUUCAGGUAACCUUGCACCAAAAAAUCUUUCCUGGCAUUUAGCCUCAGAAACAAAGACUACCUUAAAAGGGAUCCCACAUGCUUCAACCAGUUCUGAAGACCCAAAAAUUUCUGGGAAGACUUCUGGGGUUUUCCAUCUUUCAGAUAAUGAGGAGACUACCAGGACUAACUCCCCAGCAGCUCAUCUUCAUUUACCAAGUGGUGGCUCUGCUUCUAGUGCAAUUAUGCAAACAUUGAGUGGCACAAGAAGGGAUGGAUUGGAGAGUUCCCAAGCAUUGACAAGAUACAGGUCAUUUGAAAACCAAAAUCGACUUGACAUUGCAUGUGUCCCUGUUCGCAGCAAAAGUAUACUAUCAGCUUUCUUUGUCAAACAGAAGACACCAAAGCUGAAGGCUGGUUCUGUUCUGUGAAUCUUCAACAAAUCAAAGAAGCUGCCCUUUAAAGCUUCUCCCUUUGUGAGUGCUGUCUCUCAGGAAUGACCCAAAAGUUACUGAAGAAAUGAACACAAGGCUUCUACUGCAAUGCACUGCAAUUGAAGUGAAAAAAGCUAUCUUUUAUAUGACUCCAUUAAGCUCACUAGGUCCAAAUGGCUUCCCAGCCCAUUUUUAUCAACAAACUGGGAUGUUCUUGAGAAGGAAGUUCAUAGAUUUGUACUCCAUGUGCUGAACAAUGGUGGUUCUUUAAAAGGGGUGAAUGACACCUUAUUACAUUGAUACCAAAACUACAGGAAUCAAAGAAAGUGAGAUUUUAGACCAAUCAAUCUAUGUAAUAUUAUUUAUAAAGUGAUUGCUAAGGUGUUAGCAAAUAGGCUCAUAGCUAUGUUGCCUGACAUUGUUUCACUUAAUCAGAGUGAUUUUAUUCCUGGCAAGUUAAUUACAGAUAACAUAUUAAUUGCC